AUACAUCUAACUGUUUUUUGAACAGUCUGAACUUGGUAUGUUGGGAGCUAACAUCAAAGAACUAUUUUCCCCCAUUCACAUGAGGACUGUGUCAAAUCUGCCUCCUAUCACUUAAGGAGGUUUUGGGAAAAUCAUUCACUUUCGUUUCUAUCACUUCCAGUAACUUAACAGUACGGCUCAGAUGUAAAACUCCCCUUUUACUUGUUCCUGUCACUUCAGCCCAAGCUUGUCUCAUGAUCUAAAAAUCUGUAAUAGGGAAGAGGGUGUGGUCUGAUCUUUCCCCUUCUAUUUUACCUCAUCUAGUUCCAGAUUCUCAAAUCAUAUAGGGCCAGGAGGAGAGGACCAAAUUAUGUCUUAGUUACCUGGCUGCUGGUGGUUGUCUCUGUUUUUUGUAGAGCACAGGUGUAACGGCUUUCAGGGUGGGGGUGGGGAACUCUCCACUGAGUAGUGUGCUGAUGUGGGAGAUCUCUGGCUUGGCCUCUUCCGGCCCUCCUCCCACUCAGCUCCCACCAAUGAUGUAUCAAUAAAACCUCUUGCUGCUGGAGAUCUGCUUACCUGGUGGCCAGGGUGGCAAGACAAGUGAAGCCUGACUAUGCCUGCAGCAUCCACUGUGGAAACUACUACAUCUUUGCCAUGCCAAACACUUCUGCUUAAGCAUGCAGGUGAGAAGGGAAGAUACAUGUAAUCUGCAUGUCUGCCACCAUUCCUUGUUACCCUUUUUCAUAUCCCAUGAGCACAGCACUCCAGCGGACCUACCCAAAAUAUGUGGGAGUUCAGUGAAACUCAAACAGCAUGCUUCUGGUCAGCCUAUACAGUCUCUGUCCUGGUGAGGAGCAUGAUCACCAACAGGCAAGAUCUUCUGGCCUUGAAGUUUCGCUUGAGUUAAAAGAGCUCAUCUCAGGACUUUCUGAAUUUUCAGCCCAUAUGACAUGGAAGAAGAGUUAGAAGGGGAAUCUGACUGCUUGGAUCAGGGACUGUCUGGCUGGUGGAACUUGAAUAGAUGUACAGUGCGCCACUCUGAGGAUCAAGUCUGACCCUGCCUUUAAAUUUGGAUUCAAAGUACUUAGAUUUUCUGGAAUCCCAUUCUACAAUCUUCUGGUCGAAAGUAUAAAACCAGUCUCUCAUUGCACCUUACGAGAAACACCCACAGGUGUGGAGGGGCAACCCACCCCUUCAUCUGGUGCCCAACGUGGAGGCUUUUCUCUGGGGUGAAGGUACACUCGAGCGUGGUCAUUGAGGACAAGUCGACAAGAGAUCCCGAGUACAUCUACAGUCAGCCUUACGGUAAGCUUGUGCACUCGGAAGAAGCUAGGGUGACAAUGGGGCAAACUAAAACUAAAAGUAAAUAUGCCUCUUAUCUUAGCUUCAUUAAAAUUCUUUUAAAAAGAGGGGGAGUUAGAGUAUCCACCAAAAAUCUAAUCAAGCUAUUUCAAACAACAGAACAAUUUUGCCCAUGGUUUCCAGAACAAGGAAAUUUAGAUCUAGAAGAUUGGAAAAGAAUUGGUAAGGAACUAAAACAAGCAGGUAGGAAGGGUAAUAUCAUUCCACUUACAGUAUGGAAUGAUUGGCCCAUUAUUAAAGCAGCUUUAGAACCAUUUCAAACAGAAGAUAGCGUUUCAGUUUCUGAUGCCCCUGGAAGCUGUAUAAUAGAUUGUAAUGAAAA
rnacentral:lncRNA from 1 species